CAGAGGCCCUGGUGGUCAGAGGCCAUUUGCAGCUCAAUGCAAAUAUCCUCAAGAGUAAACCUCCUUUCUCCCUAUUGGGUCAGCGUUUGCCUUCUCAGUUUAUUAGGGAAAUAAGGUCUCUAUUCUGAGCACCACAGAAAGCUACUUAGAGUGCUGCCAUCUACGGAUAUCUGGUCAAAAGCAAAACAAACAAACAAAAAACCUGAUUUCAAAUCUUUGCUCAGAUCUUGGCCUGGCCAUCAGACAUCACAGCCCCAUAGAACCCAGGACAAGCUGAGGGGAACUGUCACUGCCCUUUAAGUGUUCAUCGCCUAUCCAGACAGACAUACAAACUUUGUUGAGUUUAGAUAUUUAAAAGGGUUUUCUUCAGAUGGAUUUAUACUGCAUGGUCUCUAAGAAUUACUGCUUCUCUUUAGGAGAUACUGUGGAGUCACAUCUAAAGGCAGCGAAGAAAGCAAAUAUCACCUGAGUCAAAAUUACCCUUAAGAACCUCUCCAGAAGGUGCGCGGCUCUGGGCUCGGCAUGAGGAACACCCCGUACUGGUGCUGUGGUCCCAACAGAACUUGUGAGUUCUAGAGCAUUGUGGCCCAGCUCACAGACACACUGUGGUAAGACCACCUAGUGAUCAUCCACAGACAAAGCCACUGUUCUACAGAAGGUCUUCCAGGGAAAUAAAGUCUGCUAUUCGUCU